CCAGGUAGAUGUGAAGCUUGGCAGUGCUUGGACAUAUACUUAACCAUACAGAGAAUAUCAGCCCAGCCUGUAGCAGGUAAACAAGAGCCCAGCACAGAAGAAAAGGCAGAGCUACAAGAAGACAGUGCCACAUUAUUUUCAUUGGAAUCUAUGUAUGCAUCUAUGCCUACAGAAGAGGUGAAGCAAAGUUGCUGACUUCAGCCUCAAGCCGAUAAGGAGGAAAAGAGCUCGGCAGUUUAAAGAUGCUCAAUGACUGUAGGAAGAAGAUACUGGAUUUUCAAAAUAGCAUUUGAUGAAAGCAAUUGCCAUGCAGUGAUGAGAACAGGUUUGGGAGGCUCAAGACCUGGUGUGACAUCCUGACUCCAAUUGGUUCAUAUGAGGAGACAAGGAGAAGAUGUCCAUCUGGAAACCUUCAGGAAAUGGAUCUUCACCAGACACCAGAUCUGCUGGUACUUUGUUCUGGACUUCUCAGUCUCCAGAACUGUGAGAAAUAAGUGUCUGUUGUUUAAGCCAUUCAAUCAAUAGCAUUUUGUCAUAGCAUCCUAAACUGUCUCCUGGUGUUUGUAUUGUUUCAACCUAAAGCCCUGAAUGAUAUGAAUGGUUAACCAUUUAUAAACCACUGAAGUUGACUCAGCACAUUAUCUUGUACAUGGUGGACC
rnacentral:lncRNA from 1 species